CACCGUAACCGAUUUUCUCUCAUAUUUCCUUCAAUUUCGGCUACUCCUACUUUACCCCGGAUAUCCUCAUUCCUAAUCUUAUCCUUUCUCGCGUGCCCACACAUCCAACGAAGCAUCCUCAUCUCCGCUACACCCAUUUUGUGUACGUGUUGAUGCUUCACCGCCCAAUAUUCUGUGCCAUACAGCAUCGCCGGCCUUAUUGCCGUCCUAUAAAAUUUUCCCUUGAGCUUCAGUGGCAUACGGCGGUCAC
rnacentral:lncRNA from 1 species